rfam:Echinococcus multilocularis genomic scaffold, pathogen_EmW_scaffold_09
GGUUCCAUGGUGUAGUGGUUAGCACUCAGGACUCUGAAUCCUGCCACCCGAGUUCAAAUCUCGGUGGAACCU